CUUCUGGUUCUUGUGAAAGUGACUCUGCCAUUGGAGCCACACAAUCGUCACUUUAGCUCCUGGGCCCUCCGAUUCUCACUUCAUUAAUUGGAAGCAAGAAGUAUCAGCAGAGAUCAUUCACCGGGCACGCGGAGUGAUAAAAAGCUGUUCCAGAAGGUUCGUGCCCUGCUGAUGAUCACCGUUAGUUUCUGGUAUUUCUUGACCUGUUGUGUGUGGAAGGCUCUUUGCAUUAUCCCAUUGAAUCCGUCUGACCCUGCAGCGAAGCGUGAAGAGCCUCACAGUGCUGGCUGACUCUAGAGUCUGUGGUCUCUCCUCCACCUUCUGGCCUCCGGGAUUCCCUGAGGCUCUUUGUCGGGACCUGUGGUGGAGAAAAACAUGCGUUUGGCUUGUCAGCAAUUUCAAGACCCUGCCAACUGAGACAAUCUUCCCUGAAACGGGAAGAGGAGGGUACACUGGCCAGAGGAAUUCUCCAGUUGCAGACAGGCAUAUGGCGCGAUGCUAGACUGGAACCGAGGCCCCUGCACUGAGUCUGAUUCUAGCCCCAUAGCCUUUGGGGGCUUUGGGUACAUUCUAAACUCUUUCGGAGCCUUAGUUUCCCCUUGCAUUGAAACCAAGACUUGAAAUCACGAAUCUCCAACUUCCUUUCCAGCUGCAGGAUCCUAUGGUCUAAAACGAGUUUUCUUAAACGAGUUUUCUAGCUAGGCUAAAACAAUUCGGGCUUGGGAACAAUUAUGUGAAGUCCACUAGGUUUUGAAGAGCUCAAUUUUGGUGAUGGGUAAUAAUGAGUUUAACCAAAAGUAGGAACGACGAGAGAUGGGUGGCUGAAACCGUCAUUUACUCCUCUCCCCAGAAAAAGGAUUGGCUGCGCGUCAGACAAAAUUUAGUUUCUAAGCAGCACGCCAGGAAAACCAGAUGCGUCUGGUAGCAUAGAAGGGGCAACUGCCUUGGGAUUCUUGUUCCCCUACCAUAAUCAGAUUCCCAUGGUCCCAGUGGGCAUAGCCUUAGAGUUGAGCUGGGAAUCAUAAAGCAGGGAUCGUCACCUGGCUUCAAGCUGAGGUACCUCCUACCAAGUAACCAGUAAGCGGCAUGAAUAGUUAUGGUGCUCGCAGGCAGAGGAGGGAAUAAUCAGGCCACUAUGAAGAUGCUGCAGAAGGUUAGAGGGCGUUCCGGAGAGGUGGCGGGAAGACUGGACCUUCUUUGAAGACUGAGUCGGACCCAAGUAAACGAAGAAGCGUUGGUGGCUAGGGGGACAGAAGGAGAGAGGGGACAUACUGCAGCUGGAGAAAAAAGAACAAUCCAGGUUACCACAGGCAGCGGAGAUACGGAGGUCGUCUGGAUCAGGUCCAGGGUUUGUAGGUGCUAAAGACACGCGGAGUUGUGACGAGGGAACCAGAUGAAAAAUGUUAGGGCCACCCAGUUUUUCUUUCGUCGAGUGAAAUUUGGUCACUGACAAAGAAGGUAAUAACCAAUUGGUUAUCAACUUGCUUUUUAAGAACAGUCAUUGCGCAGGGACAACUCUGGCAAGGGUGACCUUGGUAUCGUCAUAGGCAUGUGCUUGUCUUAGCCUAGUUGGCUAAUGUGAAGGUCUCCAUAGAACAUAAUGCCAUUGAAGGUGUGGUGGCAGUUGAGUCUUAGAUUUCUUUUGACAUCAGCUGCCUCCAUCGAUUCGUCGCAACGAAUCCAUACUCUCCUUCUUGAGCUCAAUGAUCUCAGAGUACAGGCCAUACUACUGAGUGAGCUGUUUGAUGCAAUUUUCACAUCUAGAAGUGUUUUGCGAUGAAUACUUCCCAUUGGGUAUAGGGAACUCCACUGGGGUCAUAUCGUUCACCCACAGGCAAUGACAAAGGUCCACUGUAGCUCUGCGAGCUGCUCUGCAGGUAGGUCCUAGCACAAUUUCAACCUCUCCCAAGGCCGCUUGUGCAUCCCAGCCAUAAAAUAGUCUGCACUAAGAUACUAUUUUCCGAAUCUCUCUAAUGUCACAAGGAUGAUUUGUCACGGUAAAGGCUAUCAACACCCAAGUAAGUUAUGACAAGGCCUCUUCAGGCUUUAGUUCGAGGUCUUCGUUAACAUUAACGUUCUUAUUUUCUCAUAGCCAACAUUUUCUAACUCGAGACCAGUUGAUUUCAGGAAUAAUCUAUGUCUGUGCAAAUCUGCCUAGCUGAGGAGAACUUCUGACAUCAGUCAUCAGUACCUUACGGAGCACUUUUCUCAUACCUAUUCCUGUCACAUAAGAUGCUAAAGUAGUAUUUUUAGAGCUUGAGAAUUGCUCUUGGGAGUCAAAACACGUAGUUAAGGGAAUAAUCCUCUAUUGCUUCCUCCCUCCCUCCCUUCAACUGCAACAACAUUGAGUGUAUAUAUUUUAGCAAGCAAGAGCUGGGGAAUCUGAGACAGGUUAUCUCCAAAUCUCUGCCUUCAAGGAAUGCAUAGCCUAAGAGAGUUAGAUCUCAAGAAAUAACUCUGUGGGCCGCAUGUCCGCUGAGUUACCCUGUCCAUCAAGAGUCAAGUAAGAGCGAUUCAAAUCCUAACCUAGAAGUAAUGGUAGCCUUGAGUCCCUUCCGGGCCUUUCAAAAUAAUUUUUUAUGGAGGGAGGGAGGUAGAAGGAGUAGGCAGGGGGUGAGGACAAUACUGACAUUCUCCCUUUUCACCUCUGGCUGCAUCUUACUGUUCCAUAUGUCACGUUCCUGCAUCACAUAGCCUGAAGUGUGGACCCUAACUUCAACCGCCCGAAACUUCGCACCUACAAGACAGUUGUUUGCGUGGUGGACUUUAUUGAACGUUUGAGAUGAUUGGAGGGAUUUCACACUGUCCAUUGCUUGCCUCCACCUCUGUAUACGCCCGAUUUCCUCACUUGUUUGGUCUUUCCACUUUAACGCAGAACAGAGAAGCUUGACAGAAUUGUAGACGGUGAAGGACGAAAUGAAGUGUGAAGGAUGAAUAGGCAGUGGCCAGGUUGGGGGGUGCUUGACAGCGGUGAGGGGGCUUUCUUUUCGUGUAAUCAGGCAAAGCCCUCCAUCUCCUGUAGCUCUCUGCUCCACGAUCUCCUAGCCAUGGACUCUGCAUUGUGUCUGCUCAAACCGGGCCAUCUACUCACGCCUCACGCUUCAGUGGUACCAAAGAACAGUAGAGGCUGAAAUGUUCUCAUUCUUUCCCAGCCCCAACCCAGUCCCUGAACAGGGAAGGGAGCACUAUAAAGAUUCACUGAUAUUGAAUUA